AAAUUGAAGAGUUUGAUCAUGGCUCAGAUUGAACGCUGGCGGCAGGCCUAACACAUGCAAGUCGAGCGGUAGCACAGAGAGCUUGCUCUCGGGUGACGAGCGGCGGACGGGUGAGUAAUGUCUGGGAAACUGCCUGAUGGAGGGGGAUAACUACUGGAAACGGUAGCUAAUACCGCAUAAUGUCGCAAGACCAAAGUGGGGGACCUUCGGGCCUCAUGCCAUCAGAUGUGCCCAGAUGGGAUUAGCUAGUAGGUGGGGUAACGGCUCACCUAGGCGACGAUCCCUAGCUGGUCUGAGAGGAUGACCAGCCACACUGGAACUGAGACACGGUCCAGAC
rnacentral:rRNA from 1 species